AUUGAACGCUGGCGGCACGCCUUACACAUGCAAGUCGAACGGCAGCACGGGAGCAAUCCUGGUGGCGAGUGGCGAACGGGUGAGUAAAGCAUCGGAACGUGCCCAGUCGUGGGGGAUAACGUAGCGAAAGCUACGCUAAUACCGCAUACGAUCUGUGGAUGAAAGCGGGGGACCGUAAGGCCUCGCGCGAUUGGAGCGGCCGAUGUCAGAUUAGGUAGUUGGCGAGGUAAAGGCUCACCAAGCCGACGAUCUGUAGCUGGUCUGAGAGGACGACCGGCCACACUGGGACUGAGACACGGCCCAGACUCCUACGGGAGGCAGCAGUGGGGAAUUUUGGACAAUGGGCGCAAGCCUGAUCCAGCAAUGCCGCGUGCAGGAUGAAGGCCUUCGGGUUGUAAACUGCUUUUGUACGGAGCGAAACGGCUUCCACUAAUACUGGGGGCUAAUGACGGUACCGUAAGAAUAAGCACCGGCUAACUACGUGCCAGCCGCCGCAGUAACAC
rnacentral:rRNA from 1 species